UAGGGAAUAUUGCACAAUGGGGGAAACCCUGAUGCAGCGACGCCGCGUGAAGGAUGAAGUAUUUCGGUAUGUAAACUUCUAUCAGCAAGGAAGAAAAUGACGGUACUUGACUAAGAAGCCCCGGCUAAAUACGUGCCAGCAGCCGCGGUAAUACGUAUGGGGCAAGCGUUAUCCGGAUUUACUGGGUGUAAAGGGAGCGUAGGCGGUACGGCAAGUCAGAAGUGAAAGCCUGGGGCUCAACCCCGGAAUUGCUUUUGAAACUGUCGAACUAGAGUGUCGGAGGGGUAAGCGGAAUUCCUAGUGUAGCGGUGAAAUGCGUAGAUAUUAGGAGGAACACCGGUGGCGAAGGCGGCUUACUGGACGAUCACUGACGCUGAGGCUCGAAAGCGUGGGGAGCAAACAGG
rnacentral:rRNA from 1 species